UCAUACUGUGAACUGCGAAUGGCUCAUUAAAUCAGUUAUCGUUUAUUUGAUAGUACCUUUACCUGGAUAACCGUGGUAAUUCUAGAGCUAAUACAUGCUAAAAACCUCGACUUCGGAAGGGGUGUAUUUAUUAGAUAAAAAACCAAUGCCCUUCGGGGCUCCUUGGUGAUUCAUAAUAACUUAACGAAUCGCAUGGCCUUGCGCCGGCGAUGGUUCAUUCAAAUUUCUGCCCUAUCAACUUUCGAUGGUAGGAUAGUGGCCUACCAUGGUCUUAACGGGUAACGGGGAAUUAGGGUUCUAUUCCGGAGAGGGAGCCUGAGAAACGGCUACCACAUCCAAGGAAGGCAGCAGGCGCGCAAAUUACCCAAUCCCAAUUCGGGGAGGUAGUGACAAUAAAUACUGAUACGGGGCUCUUUCGGGUCUCGUAAUUGGAAUGAGUACAAUCUAAAUCCCUUAACGAGGAACAAUUGGAGGGCAAGUCUGGUGCCAGCAGCCGCGGUAAUUCCAGCUCCAAUAGCGUAUAUUAAAGUUGUUGCCGUUAAAAAGCUCGUAGUUGAACCUUGGACCUGGCUGAUCUGUCCUCCUAAUCGAGCGCACGGAUUCGGUCGGGUCUUUCCUUCUGGGGAGCCCUAUGCCCUUCACUGGGUGUAGUGGGGAACCAGGACUUUUACCUUGAAAAAAUUAGAGUGUUCAAAGCAGGCCUUUGCUCGAAUACAUUAGCAUGGAAUAAUAGAAUAGGACAUCGGUUCUAUUUUGUUGGUUUCUAGGACCGCUGUAAUGAUUAAUAGGGAUAGUCGGGGGCGUCAGUAUUCAAUUGUCAGAGGUGAAAUUCUUGGAUUUAUUGAAGACUAACUACUGCGAAAGCAUUCGCCAAGGAUGUUUUCAUUAAUCAGUGAACGAAAGUUAGGGGAUCGAAGACGAUCAGAUACCGUCGUAGUCUUAACCAUAAACUAUGCCGACUAGGGAUCGGACGGUGGUUUUUUUAUGCCCCGUUCGGCACCUUACGAGAAAUCAAAGUUU
rnacentral:rRNA from 2 species